rnacentral:lncRNA from 1 species
AGUCACCGAUGGCCAAAACCUUCAAGGAAGAGAGAUAAAGGGAUGAGGAUCCUAUCCUAGGGAUGAGACGCCGCAACCGACGGUGCCGGUGGCCGAAAAAGAGAGGAAAGGGUCCGGCCGAAACAAAGCAAAACAGGGUCAUGAUGUUUUAUGGAUUUUCCGACGAUCCCGACGGCCGGCGAGGGUGCACGAGAUCAUGAAAAAGAGGGGAAGAA